GGCCUUGUAUUCAUUUUGUGAUUGUAGAAUGCAAUUCUACAGGGGUGAGAUAUAGAGACUUACCAAGGCCU
rnacentral:tRNA from 1 species